UAAGUUGUGUAGCUGCCUUCUUUCUGCUC
rnacentral:piRNA from 1 species